rnacentral:rRNA from 1 species
UACGUAGGGGGCAAGCGUUGUCCGGAUUUAUUGGGCGUAAAGAGCGUGUAGGCGGCCACACAGGUCUGCUGUGAAAACUCGAGGCUCAACCUCGAGCUGUCGGUGGAAACCGUGUGGCUAGAGUCCGGAAGAGGAGAGUGGAACUCCCGGUGUAGCGGUGAAAUGCGCAGAUAUCGGGAAGAACACCCGUGGCGAAGGCGGCUCUCUGGGACGGUACUGACGCUGAGACGCGAAAGCGUGGGGAGCGAACAGG